UACGUAGGGUGCGAGCGUUGUUCGGAAUUAUUGGGCGUAAAGCGCGUGUAGGCGGUUUGUUAAGUCUGAUGUGAAAGCCCCGGGCUCAACCUGGGAAGUGCAUUGGAUACUGGCAGACUUGAAUACGGGAGAGGGCAGUGGAAUUCCUAGUGUAGGAGUGAAAUCCGUAGAUAUUAGGAGGAACACCGGUGGCGAAGGCGGCUGCCUGGACCGAUAUUGACGCUGAGGGCACGAAAGCGUGGGGAGCAAACAGG
rnacentral:rRNA from 1 species